GGAGGAGGUGUUGAAGAAAGGAUUGAGAUGAUUAUCCCAGUCUGGCACACAGAAAGAGGUCUGUGUAGUAAUAUCCAGCUAAAAAGGCAGUUACUUGACAACUGCAGGGGAAAUCAGGUGGCAAACUGAGGACAGAAGCAGAGAGAAAAUGUGUGGCACCUGGAGGAACAGAGAAAAUGUAAAGAUGAAGAUGGAAAGCUACUAACAAUCAAUAAUAAAAGAGGCUGAAAUGGAAAAUUAAGGACAUAG
rnacentral:lncRNA from 1 species